UCCAGAACCAUGGGGAUGUGGCACUGAUGGAUCUGGAAAGUUGUGCUGUCUGUCCUGGAAAUCAGAGCCAUUUGAAGCAGCCCUAGUCAUCUCCCUCUGGGGAAACAAGCUUCAGCCUUGACAGAACAAAGUGCUGAGACUUGCUCUGGUGUCACUCAACCAAAUCUCCAGCAGCCUGCAUGCACCCAGCAUGGGGAAGGGAAGAGGGCAGCAGCCAUCUCUUUGGCUCUCCAAGAGGCAUAGUCCUGGAACAGGUUCACAAAAUAGAUGUAAGGUCGGUUGUUGACAGCUUUGAGCAGG